UUUGUUUUACACAUUCUUCCUGUUUCUUUUCAUCUGAGUUUCAAAGAGAGCUCUGCUAGGGUUUUUGCCCCUCUCUCUGCUUCCUAUCAAUGUUGCUCGUUCCUAGUUCCUCCCACUCCGCGGUAGUUUGCUCGUUCUCUGAUCCUCUUUCUGUGCCAUGCUUGUUCCCUGAUGCUUGCCCCGGGCCGUCGUUGGUCUCCUCUCUUCACUGUGCAUCGUCACUGCUACUCUAUUUCUCGUCGUUGCUGCUUCGAAAUGGCAUUCGUGCCCUACAUGGCUUCCAGUACUCACCUCAUCUAAGGAACUUCUAAAAGGUGGAAUAGAUCUUAAUUAAGCAGAUCUUGCUGUCUUUGGUGUUCUACGACUCAUCCAUCACCUUCAAGUUCAGUAAAGAUAUGGUAGAGCAGACACAGAUUGGGAAAUGAAACUCUCGUAUGGAUCAAGCUAUAUGACAGUCUUGCAAAGCCAAUUCAGAUAGUUAAACUAUAGUGAGUAUCAAUUUAUAAAUUGAUAUCAGACUGCUGUAUAAAAAUUGAAAUAAGUUUGCACUACAAAAUUUUUUAAUGGCAUGCGGUUGCUCUAGCUACCCCUUUUGCUUGUAGCAGUGAUAUAUGAUGACAAUAUAUUUAGUCUGGUUUUAUGAAGCAUAAUGAUCUUGUUACUUCAA